CUGGCCUACUUCUUCUUCUUGUCCUGCAUGUCUUGGUGUGAUGGUGACACUUUUCUGUUGGUUUAAGGUGGAGACACACUGUCAAACAUAAAUGAUAGAUAUUGGCACGUUAUUGUAAACACAGUACACAUAGUUUUUGGUAUGAAAUAUAAACACCGCCCAAGAGAGCAGAUAGAAUGCCAUGGCCAACCUGCUGAACAGAGCUUAGCAGCUCAGAGAAAGAAUGUUAUAGAUCAGAGAAAAUAAACAAGCUUGAGAAGCUGACCCUACGCAUCCAGACUUCUUUGGCUGUGCAGGCUGAGGAAUGAGGACUUUUACACUCUCGGGGUCACCUUGACACCCAGACCCCGAGACAGAAGUUCUGGACUGUGGGGUCUGUUCACUCCUUUUGCUCUCAACUGUGCCAAGAUCACAGUGUAACCCUGAAACUCUUCCAGAUCUGAGGCUCUGUGUGUUUAGCAUUUUGAAUUAAAGGUGAUGCUUCUAAGCUAAAAGACCAAUCUUGCAGCUAUGCACAACUUCUUUCCUACUAUUCUCAGUUUAUUUUAAUUCACAUUGGUCUGUGUCUGACGUACCACAAGUGUUAGUUAUAGACAUACACUCUUCUCCUUGGAGGCUUUUUUGCCAUAAAGAAAUCUAAGUCAAAAUUGUGACAUUAUUAACUGCCAGGAGAAAUCCAUAAUCUCUCAUCAAACUCUGGGUUUUCCCCCUAAUGGGUUUCAAUUAAAAUUUUUUAAUGGAUUUGGUUUUUUGUUUAUCUAAACUUGUUUUUAUGCCAUACGCUAUUCAUAUAAUACAAGACUCUGGAGGCUGCAAUAGAAAUAAUGUACUCUGAAAAUCCAGCAUUGCUAAACCUUAAAAAGGAUUUUCCCUACAGACAUGCAGUCAGAGGAUGAAGCAGCAGCAAUUAAGCAGCCAAUGCUGUGAAGAAGCAAUCUUUAACUUUUGAGAUAAUUUAACAGGAAACAGUAUUUUCAGUGCCUGCUUCAGGAGUCAGAUAGCUAUUUUAGGGUGGUUUUGUCUUCUAAAUGCAUUCCCCUUCCCUGGAUUAAGUGCAUUUUUUUGUCCUUUAAUCCUAAUUUGUUGACACUUUCUAAUUAAUUCUCAGCCUUUUCCCAGCAGGUUGAAACCACUGUAUUGUCACUAGAAUAUGCCACUCUGCUAAGUGGCUUUUCACCCCAGGCACCCCCUGCCCCUUCUUGGUGGUCUCUGCAUUACAUCUCUCUCCCAGAUACUCUUCAUUUAUUCAGUCCCCAUUUCUUUCCUUCCCCAGCUAAGUUUCUCUUCUGUUGCCACACUAAGCAAUAAUAAAUUCUUACCUACCUUGUUUUGUUUUUUUUUCCUUGUCCCCAACUUCAAGUAGUGCAUUUUUGUUAUUGGUAAUUUUAGAUCAGGUGCGGUGUCACUCUUCUAGAUGAGGACAUUUCAGAUUUAAAUCUGUGACUUUAGCUGUAAUGAUGAAUGGGGUUUGUUUUAUAUAAUUUUUUCCUGACAGAGCCUCCUCUGAGAGUGUAAGGCACAAAUCAGCUUUAGAGUUAGAAAGUUUUUUGGUUUUAGGGUUUUUAUGGUUUGGGAGUUAUUUGUGGAUUUGGUUUCUUUUUUUUUUUUUUUUUUUUUUUCAGUCUUGUCUAAUUUGUUUAUUAGCAAGGGGUCCAGUUAUCAUUGGGCUAGCACAUAAGAAGGUGCUGGGAUAUUUUCUUUCAAGCUCAAUAGUUCCCAAGGCUAAGAGCAGCCACCAGUAGUUCACAGCUGGGCUGUGGAUUCUUUGCAUCCUGACAUACCUAUGCCAUGGCAACAGCCCAAUCUACAGUUUUAAGGAAAAAAUGCUUGAUAAUGUGUUCUGAUCAUGUUUCCACUGAUUUCCCAUGUAUCCUCUUUUUAAGAAAUAAGUACCUUAAAGAGCAGUGACUGUAGCUCUCUUCUCAAGAUUGAAGUGAACAAGGUACACUGUGAAUAUUGUACUUGUUACACUAAAAUAGUAACUUGAUAGGCUUACUUAGUUCUUUCAUGAAUUUGGUCAAGCUACGAUGAUGGAAUUGCUAAGCAAUGUAAAUUCUCAUAGGUUUGUAUAAGAAGUGGAAGUUUGUAAAAGACUUAUUUUUGGAUUUGUUCUAUCUGUAUUGCUUUUGGGAAUUGUAGACUGUAAAUCCAAGUUUCAGGGCAAACCGGGAUGCUUCCGUCAUUGAGUGAAAUAUUUAUUUUAUUGCCAAAAUUGCAUGUGCUUUUUAAAUUUUGACUGUUUUCUGUUUCAUACAUGUUUCCUCAUAAGUUAUGUUUCUCCUUAAGAUAUUCCUUUGUCUCUCUUGCCAUGGAAGUUUCUACCAUUCUGUAAUUACAAGCUCUUUUUGCAGAUGGCCUCUUUCUCCUAAAUCCAGUGUAGCUUCUCUACUAGAGAAGCAGUUAAACAACCUGAUUCCUAGUUUGAGCUCAGAGAAAAUUCCACUCUAAAAAAGUGUGUUUUGGUUAAUGAGUUCCUAUACCAGUCUUCAUAUAAUGGCAAAAUUUGUAUUUUUUAUGGUAAAUUGACAGGCAAUGGGCCUGAAAAUGAGCAUGUCCGGAGAUGCUGCUGUGCUAUGCGAGUGGUUCUGCUGAAAGUAGUGCUGGUGCUCCUUGUGUACAGGAGAAUAAAGCUGCCCUAGCAGUAACACUGUGUGAAGUUAAUGCUGAGGCUGUGAAGUACUAGGAAGCUGGCAAACAGCAGAAUGGGAUUUGUUUUUUCUGCUGCUGUAGUUCUGAGUUGGGCAGCCUUGUCCCACUUUUUGGAGAUAGGGUUUCACUCUGAUAAAAAGCUGUAGGUUCAGCUGCAAGUCAUCCUUUUGUACUCACUUUUUCCUCGACUGUUUUCUCCCCCGCCCUGUGUGUUCAGGAGUUGGUGUAUUCUGUAUUUCCCCAGACAGCCAGUGUGGAAACCCCCAGAGCGUGACAGUCCCUGUGUUCUCAGGUUCAGGUUUGUGUUGCCCUUUGAAGAUAAGAGCAGAAAGGCCCUGCUAGCAGGACAGCACUGGAUCAAAGCUCCCCCUCAUCUGCUUUGAUUUGGCAAUAUUCCUUCAGUCUUUCACUUUAAACUGUUUGGGUUGGGACUGAUGAUCAAAUCUGUCUUCUGGUCUGUUAUCAAACCUGAUUUUUGCUGAAAACCCUCCAAUGCUAGAAGUGUGAGAUGGGACAUUUCAGUCUUCAGUGCUUUAACUCGCUCAGGGUUGAGGCAGAGGAGAUGCUGGAAGUUAUUGACAGAAUUGAACUUCAUGUACAAGUACUGAGAGGAUGUAUUCAGUUGAUUGAAUGUUAGUUGGUGAUGAAAUACAGAGGAUAAAAUGCUGACACUACAAAGAUAAUGUCUCUUGGUAAUUUCCAGUGUAAGCUCAGAGCAGUUAGUCAAGCCUAUACCUGAAUUUUCCAUGGUUAAACUUAAGACAACACAUUUCUUUUUCAUAUGUGUCAAACUCAUGUCAAUAAUAGCAAUAUAAGAGUAUAUCUGUGCCUUCUGUGAAAAUUUCUUUCUGAAAGUAAUGAACUUCCAGAUGUGGGAUGUUUUGGCUUCCCCUUUCCCUUCCCCUUUUUUCUUCUUUUUUUUUUUUUUUUUUUUUUUUUUUUUUUUUUUUUUUGAGAAGGUUCAUAUUAGCUCUGUCUCUACCAUUUUUUUUAUCAUUGGUUGGCCAAAAAAAUUGCCUUAUUCCAGAGAAGCGAUUUGUAUUAAACCAAAAUGUAUUAUGAGCAAAGUAGGUAACAUUAAAAAAAAUUAACUCUUGUAUGACAGUUAUAUUUCUCACAAUAGAUUUUUUUACAGCGUUUUUCCUCACACUGGAAAUGGGAAUUCCAUUUCUGCAUGUGUUGUUUCCGACAUGACAUUUAAAGACAUGGUGCUUCUGCUUCUCAAUAAAAGUUACUAGGAAAUUAAUAGUAUUCUUGUGUGUGCCACAUACCUGUAUGUCUAUUCAUUGUGUACUUGAAGGGGCCACAAAACUUUGAGACAGCAUCUUGAAGCUAAAAAAAUCUACUUCCUCUUCCUUCUGGUUUCAACAAGUUUGACAGCUACAGUUUAUCUGAGCAAGACAAAGUGAUUAAUUUCUUUUAGAUCCUGCUGCAUUCCCCGAUUUCUUGUAGUGUUUACCUUUCAUAUUUUGGUAUUCUCUUAAGCAUGAGCCUGUAAUUGCUCUCAAAAAUCCGUUUCGCUGUCCAUCAGAAAAAAAACCCAGAAAGUGGAGUUAUACUAAUGCCCUGUUCACUUGUUCAAAACUGAAGUGCUUUAUGCUUCUGAAAACUCCUAAUUUUCAAGUGAUUUGUAUUAUGUAAAAUAUAUUUUGAAGAUACUUUUAAAAAUAUCUUUAUGAAAGGAAAAAUAAUUUUUAAAGGCUUAGGAAUCUGGUUUCUUUAGAACCUGGUGCUCAAACAAGCACAGCCAAGCAGUGUGUUUGGGGUUUGUGUACUGCCAGUGACUGCUUCUCUUCCAGCUUUGCUUUUUGAGUUUUUCUAUUCUGUGCAGUGUUAACUGCCACCCUGAUGAAUUAACUCAUGCACUUAAAAUGUUUUGCUAUAUUUUGACACUGGUGAUGUCAAAGGCUCCCACUUCUCAUGAAACAAGUGAUGUUGGGGUAAGUGACUUGGGUUAGGUUGGUGUGGAAUGUGUGCCUUGGCUCCAGAAGAAAUACCAUUUAAUUUCUUGGUUCAUACUGAGUUUCACAGCACUGGAAGGCCUCCUCAUCACGUGUGUGGACUCACUCUAUCUUUGUUGUUUUAACUACAGCAGUUGCUUUAAUGUGCUAUGCUGUAGCUGUGACUCCAGCCCUGCUGCAUGCAUGCUUGCCAUAUGUGUAAACAAUUUGCUGAUUUUAGUGGUAUGACCUGCUGGCCUCUGCCUGUAUAAACAAAUGGAGGCCAAAGUUCAGAGAGAUCAGAGGGGAAACUUUAAACAUCCUGCAAAAUCUGCAGUCCAUUAAGUGUACGUUAGUGUUUGGUUACAGCCAAUCCUUUUGUACUUUUGAGUAAUUUGUUCGUGGCAUGUUUGGGAAAGGAGGGAUGGCUUCACCUGGGGCUUGGGUUUGCACUGAGAAACCAGCUUCAGUGGCAUUUUCUUGGAAAGGGAAUGCUCACGGCUGCUUCACUUUUCAUUUAGAUUGAGAUUUGAAAGAGUUGUGGGGACAUUGGCCAAAGGGCUGUAGUGUGCAAAGAAUGAAUGAUAUGAGAGGCCUGUGACACAAGCAACAGAAUGAAAUGUGUGGCAAAGAAAGCAGAAAA